GCUCUCCGAACCAAAAGGCGACCUCACGAAAUGCCCCUUUGAGCUCAAAGGCUAGUUACCCCCAGGGGCCCUUCCACUCUCGAGGACAGGCAAAACCUCUUUGUCUCUGCUUCGGCCCGCGGCCCCCAGCCCAGCCUCCGCGCUUUCGCUCCGCCAGUCCUUGUCAAUCAAACCUGAUGCCAAACGCGGCAGCUGAAGUUUUCAGGGACACAUUUGCUUCUCCCCUUGAAGAACCAAUUACAAAGCCUGAUUUCCUCUCUGGGGUCCCAUCAGAACAAAGAAACAGGUCUAAAGACCCUCAUUCCAGACAGCAUCCUGCCCCAUACCCAGAAUGAAAUCCAUGCUCAGAGAUGCAAAGAAGAAUCUAGACAGACAGGCCUUUCUCGAUCUGUGGGAACAUCUAAAGACCCUGUA
rnacentral:antisense_RNA from 1 species